rnacentral:rRNA from 1 species
AACAGGGAUUGCCCUAGUACGGCGAGUGAAGCGGCAACAGCUCAAAUUUGAAAGCUAGCCUUCGGGUUCGCAUUGUAAUUUGUAGAGGAUGAUUUGGGGAAGCCGCCUGUCUAAGUUCCUUGGAACAGGACGUCAUAGAGGGUGAGAAUCCCGUAUGUGACAGGAAAUGGCACCCUAUGUAAAUCUCCUUCGACGAGUCGAGUUGUUUGGGAAUGCAGCUCUAAAUGGGAGGUAAAUUUCUUCUAAAGCUAAAUAUUGGCGAGAGACCGAUAGCGCACAAGUAGAGUGAUCGAAAGAUGAAAAGCACUUUGGAAAGAGAGUUAAAAAGCACGUGAAAUUGUUGAAAGGGAAGCGCUUGCAAUCAGACUUGUUUAAACUGUUCGGCCGGUCUUCUGACCGGUUUACUCAGUUUGGACAGGCCAGCAUCAGUUUCGGCGGCCGGAUAAAGGCUCUGGGAAUGUGGCCUCCACUUCGGUGGAGGUGUUAUAGCCCAGGGUGUAAUACGGCCAGCCGGGACUGAGGUCCGCGCUUCGGCUAGGAUGCUGGCGUAAUGGUUGUAAGCGACCCGUC